UACGUAGGUGGCAAGCGUUGUCCGGAUUUACUGGGCGUAAAGAGCGCGCAGGCGGUCGGAUAAGUCGAAUGUGAAAGCCCCCGGCUCAACUGGGGAGGGUCAUUCGAUACUGUUCGACUCGAAGGCAGGAGAGGGAAGUGGAAUUCCCGGUGUAGUGGUGAAAUGCGUAGAUAUCGUAAGGAAGACCAGUGGCGAAGGCGGGUCUCUGGACAGUUCCUGACACUGAGGCACGAAGGCCAGGGGAGCAAACGGG
rnacentral:rRNA from 1 species